UAAAGGCCUACCAAGGCGACGAUCUUUAGCGGGUCUGAGAGGACGAUCCGCCACACUGGGACUGAGACACGGCCCAGACUCCUACGGGAGGCAGCAGUGGGGAAUUUUGGACAAUGGGCGAAAGCCUGAUCCAGCAAUGCCGCGUGAGUGAAGAAGGCCUUCGGGUUGUAAAGCUCUUUUGUUUGGGAAGAAAUCCUUAGUGCUAAUACCGCUGGGGGAUGACGGUACCAAAAGAAUAAGCACCGGCUAACUACGUGCCAGCAGCCGCGGUAAUACGUAGGGUGCAAGCGUUAAUCGGAAUUACUGGGCGUAAAGCGUGCGCAGGCGGUUUUGUAAGACAGGUGUGAAAUCCCCGAGCUCAACUUGGGAACUGCACUUGUGACUGCAAGACUAGAGUGUGUCAGAGGGAGGUAGAAUUCCACGUGUAGCAGUGAAAUGCGUAGAGAUGUGGAGGAAUACCGGUGGCGAAGGCGGCCUCCUGGGAUAACACUGACGCUCAUGUACGAAAGCGUGGGGAGC
rnacentral:rRNA from 1 species